GCUAAGGAAAACAGGCUGAGUGAAGAACAGAAGAAGAAGUUUGAAGAGCUGACAGUGGCAUCCAAGAUUCCAAAGGAGAACAUAAGAAAUAUUAUUGAAACUGAUGACUGUCCUGCUGCCUAAGGAUCUUGUCUGAUGAGCAGAUACUUGAGAUACUAAUGAGAUCAGGAAUGUUUGCAACAUCAUCUUCUCAAGAUCUCAGAGAUCAUCUCUAUGAAGAUAAAAUUAUGCCCCCCUUGUAUUGAAAUGGUAAUUUCUAUUUCUCUGUAAAGGGCCAAACUCUGUCUAAAGGAUUUCUUGUCGGUUCUCUUCUAUAUUUUUUCUGCUAUUCCUGUGU